rnacentral:rRNA from 1 species
AGUACCGAAGUCCGGGAUGGAAGAUGGCGAGAAAAGCUGUGUGUAUUUCUGCGGUGCCCGUACCGCAAACCGACACAGGUAGGUAGGAAGAAGAUUCUAAGGCCAACGGGAGAAGGGUUGUUAAGGAACUCGGCAAAUUGACCCCGUAACUUCGGGAGAAGGGGUGCUGCAGCAAUGCAGCCGCAGAGAAUCGGCCCAAGCAACUGUUUACCAAAAACACAGGUUUGUGCUAAAUCGAAAGAUGACGUAUACGAGCUGACGCCUGCCCGGUGCUGGAGGGUUAAGAGGAGAUGUGCAAGCAUUGAAUCGAAGCCCCAGUGAACGGCGGCCGUAACAAUAACGGUCCUAAGGUAGCGAAAUUCCUUGUCAGGUAAGUUCUGACCCGCAUGAAAGGCGUAAUGAUUUGGGCACUGUCUCAACAGCCCGCCCGGCGAAAUUGUAGUACCGGUGAAGAUGCCGGUUACCCGCGACAAGACGGAAAGACCCCAUGGAGCUUUACUGUAGCCUAAUAUUGGGUUUCGAUGUUGCAUGCACAGGAUAGAUGGGACACUGGGAAGCAGGUGCUUUGGCGCUUGUGGAGUGGCCGUUGGGAUACCAUCCUUGCGAUAUUGGAAUUCUAACCUGCGCCUUUGAAUCAAGGCGGGGGACAUUGUUAGGUGGGCAGUUUGACUGGGGCGGUCGCCUCCUAAAGAGUAACGGAGGCGUUCAAAGGUUCGCUCAGCUUGAACGGAAAUCAAGCAAAAGAGUGCAAACGCAGAAGCGAGCCUAACUGCGAGACUGACGGGUCGAGCAGUAACGAAAGUUGGAGUUAGUGAUCCGGUGGUAUGUGAGUGGAAAUGCCAUCGCUCAACGGAUAAAAGUUACCCUGGGGAUAACAGGCUGAUCUCCCCCAAGAGUCCACAUCGACGGGGAGGUUUGGCACCUCGAUGUCGGCUCAUCGCAUCCUGGGGCUGUAUUCGGUCCCAAGGGUUUGGCUGUUCGCCAAUUAAAGCGGUACGCGAGCUGGGUUCAGAACGUCGUGAGACAGUUCGGUCCCUAUCUGUCGUGGGCGCAGAAUAUUUGAUGGGAGCUGUUCCUAGUACGAGAGGACCGGAGCGACGUACCUCUGGCGCACCAGUUGUUCUGCCAGGAGCAUAGCUGGGCAACUAUGUACGGAUCGGAUAAACGCUGAAAGCAUCUAAGCGUGAAGCCGACCCAAAGAUAAGAUAUCCCAUUGUUUAAAACAAGUAAGACCCCUUGAAGACUACAAGGUUGAUAGGCACGAUGUGUAAGUGGAGCGAUCCAUUCAGCAAGCGUGUACUAAUAGGUCGAGGGCUUGACCA